ensembl:lncRNA
AUGUGGAAAGGCACACACCUGUCUAUGUAACGUCCCACAGUUGACAGUGCAUGUCAGAGCAAACACCAAACCAUGAGGUCGAAGGAAUUGUCCGUAGAGUUCCGAGACAGGAUUGUGUCGAGAAACAGAUCUAGGGAAGAGUACCAAAAAAUCUCUCCAGCAUUGAAGGUCCCCAAGAACACAGUGGCCUCCAUCAUUCUUAAAUAAAAAAAGGUUUGGAACCACCAAGACUCUUCCUAGAGUUGGCCGCAUUGCCAAGCUGAGCAUUCGGAGGAGAAGGGCCUUGGUCAGAGAGGUGACCAAAAACCCGAUGGUGACUCUGACAGAGCUCAAGAGUUCCUCUGUGGAGAUAGGAGAACCUUCCAGAAGGACAACCAUCUCUGCAGCACAUCACCAAUCAGGCCUUUAUGGUAGAGUGGCCAGAUGGAAGCCACUCCUCAGUAAAAGGCACAUGACAGCCCGCUUGUUGUUUUCCAAAAGGCACCUAAAGACUCUCAGACCAUGAGAAACAAGAUGCUCUGGUCUGAUGAAACCAAUAUUGAACUCUUUGGCCUGAUUGCCAAGCGUCACGUCUGGAGGAAAUCUGGCACCUACGGCACGGUGGUGGCAGCAUCAUGCUGUGGGGAUGUUUUUCAGCGGCAUGGACUAGGAGACUAGUCAGGAUCGAGGCAAAGAUGAACGGAGCAUAGAGAGAUCCUUGAUGAAAAUCUGCUCCAAUCCCGCUCAGGACCUCAGACUGGGGGCGAGGGGUCACCUUACAACAGAACAACGACCCUAAGCACAAAGCCAAGACAACGCAGGAGUGACUUCGGGACAAGCCUCUGAAUGUCCUUGCGUGGCCCAGCCAGAGCCCAGACUUGAACCAGAUCAAACAUCUCUGGAGAGACCUGAAAAUAGCUGUGCCGCAACUGUCCCCAUCUAACCUAAAAGAGCUUGAGAGGAUCUGCAGAAAAGAAUAGGAGAAUCUCCCCAAACACAAGUAUGCCAAGUUUGUAGCGUUAAACCCAAGAAGAUUCUAUGCUGUAAUCGCUGCCAAAGAAUGUGAGAGAUGUGACCAACCGUCCACUCACUGAGUUCAUGGCUCCCUGUAUUGACUCCCUCCCACCACUGGCUUUCACCAAUCGGAGGCCUAUACCAACCAUGUUGCAUCCCCCCUCUCCAUUGGCCAUAAGCACUCAGGAUGCACAGCGGUUCAUUGUAUUUUCCUACUUUGUCCCUGCUGAGUGCCCAGUUGCCACAGAGGCCACUGCAGAUGUAUCUACUGGUAAAAUAGAGGACUUGUCGACAGAUACACAUCUUUCCUCAAUGCUGCAUCGAUACCUGCCACACUUCUUUAACGAUGACUCCAUUCCACCACAGCAGACAGUAGAGGGAACCACUGAGGUCUCAGUUGAUCCAGUGGUAAUAUCUAGUAUCAAGGAAGAGGACAGAUUCUAUCCGUUCUCCCUCCCACCACUGGCUCAGCGGCUCAUUGGCAAUUCAUUCAUUGUCCCGGAAACAUCCCAUCUUGCUGUUUCAGCCACGGAGUGCCGAGUUGCCACAGUGGCCACUGCAGGUACAGCAACUGUCAAGAGAGAGAACCGAUGGGCAGCUAGAAUUCUUCCUUCAGUGCUGCCUCCAUGCCUGCCACCAGUCGUUGACAUUGACUACAAACUGCCAGGGGCGGCAGUAGAGGGCACCAGCAAGUGUCCAGUUGCCAGUGAAGCAGCAGCUUCCGUAUCUACUGUCCUCCAAGAGGAGUUUUUGACUGAUAAAAGUCCUCCUGCACCCACAGCACUGCCUCUAAGGCUGCCCUGGACCCACAAUAUUGACC